rnacentral:misc_RNA from 1 species
AUCGGCGUUAGCAUCGACGGGCCGCGUGAACUGCACGACCUUUACCGAAAACAAAGGAACGGUGCCGGGUCGUUCGACCGUGCGUAUGAAGGUUUGCGGAUGUUACAGCGCGCGGGCAUUUCCUUUCAUGUCAUCAGCGUGCUGACGGUCGAAAGCAUGGCGCAGCCGGAGAAGAUGCUCGAUUUCUAUGUCGAGAACCAGAUCGGGUACAUCUGCUUCAAUGUUGAAGAGCAGGAAGGAGCAAAUGCCAGGUCGAAACUCGUGAACUGCGAAACUGCGGAC